rnacentral:rRNA from 1 species
UGCCAGCAGCCGCGGUAAUACGAAGGGACCUAGCGUAGUUCGGAAUUACUGGGCUUAAAGAGUUCGUAGGUGGUUGAAAAAGUUGAUGGUGAAAUCCCAAGGCUUAACCCCGGAACUGCCUUUAAAACUACUAGUCUAGAGUUCGAGAGAGGUGAGUGGAAUUCCGAGUGUAGAGGUGAAAUUCGUAGAUAUUAGAAAGAAUACCAAUUGCGAAGGCAGCUUUCUGGAUCAUUACUGACACUGAGGAACGAAAGCAUGGGUAGCGAAGAGGAUUAGAUA